rnacentral:rRNA from 1 species
ACGGCUCAGUAACACGUAGUCAACAUGCCCAGGGGACGUGGAUAACCUCGGGAAACUGAGGAUAAACCGCGAUAAGUCACUACUUCUGGAAUGGGUAAUGACUAAAAUCUACAUGGCCCCUGGAUUGGACUGCGGCCGAUCAGGCUGUUGGUGAGGUAAUGGCCCACCAAACCUGUAACCGGUACGGGCUCUGAGAGGAGGAGCCCGGAGAUGGGCACUGAGACAAGGGCCCAGGCCCUAUGGGGCGCAGCAGGCGCGAAACCUCUGCAAUAGGCGAAAGCCUGACAGGGUUACUCUGAGUGAUUUCCGUUAAGGAGAUCUUUUGGCACCUCUAAAAAUGGUGCAGAAUAAGGGGUGGGCAAGUCUGGUGUCAACCGCCGCGGUAAUACCAGCACCCCGAGUGGUCGGGACGUUUAUUGGGCCUAAAGCAUCCGUAGCCGGUUCUACAAGUCUUCCGUUAAAUCCACCUGCUUAACAGAUGGGCUGCAGAAGAUACUAUAGAGCUAGGAGGCGGGAGAGGCAAGCGGUACUCGAUGGGUAGGGGUAAAAUCCGUUGAUCCAUUGAAGACCACCAGUGGCGAAGGCGGCUUGCCAGAACGCGCUCGACGGUGAGGGAUGGAAGCUGGGGGAGCAAACCGGAUUAGAUACCCGGGUAGUCCCAGCUGUAAACGAUGCAGACUCGGUGGUGAGUUGGCUUCUUGCCAACUCAGUGCCGCAGGGAAGCCGUUAAGUUUGCCGCCUGGGGAGUACGGUCGCAAGACUGAAACUUGAAGGAAUUGGCGGGGGAGCAC